rnacentral:rRNA from 1 species
GACGAACGCUGGCGGCGUGCCUAAUACAUGCAAGUCGAGCUGACAGAAGGGAGCUUGCUCCCGGAAGUUAGCGGCGGACGGGUGAGUAACACGUGGGCAACCUACCCUGUAGAUCGGGAUAACAUCGAGAAAUCGGUGCUAAUACCGGAUAAUCAUUUGAAGUGCAUGCUUCGAAUGUAAAAGAUGGCUCCGGCUAUCACUACGGGAUGGGCCCGCGGCGCAUUAGCUAGUUGGUAAGGUAAUGGCUUACCAAGGCAACGAUGCGUAGCCGACCUGGGAGGGGGAUCGGCCACACUGGGACUGAGACACGGCCCAGACUCCUACGGGAGGCAGCAGUAGGGAAUCUUCCGCAAUGGACGAAAGUCUGACGGAGCAACGCCGCGUGAGUGAUGAAGGUUUUCGGAUCGUAAAGCUCUGUUGUUAGGGAAGAACAAGUGCCGUUUGAAUAAGGCGGCACCUUGACGGUACCUAACCAGAAAGCCACGGCUAACUACGUGCCAGCAGCCGCCGCGGUAA